UCACCUUCAGCACAAGAAGUCACAGGGGCCAGGGGCCUGGCUGCUCCGCCCCUGGCCAGGUUCUGGAGCUGUGUCCACUCUCAGGGCUUAUCACUGGGUCCAGUUCCUCCAUGAGACAGAGGGAUGGAAUAUAACAGCGCUCACCUCCCAGGGACUCGGGGAGAAGGAGGAUCAGGCACUCAGCAUCCGGCAGGCCAGCUCUGCACUCAAGUGGCCUCUUCCUGCCAAAUCCGCUCAGCGCAGAUGACCCCAUGGGUAUGGGACCCCAGCUGGCCUCCUCCCGGCAUGCAGAGACCCUCCCUCACGCCGGAGCCCUGCCUGCCCCUCCUCAGGUUCUUCCCGGCUCCAGUACUUCGGCGUCCCCAGCUCCUUCUGCCCAGGGCUUCCUCAUCCUCCAGGCAAGCCUUGGUCCUUCCUGACCAAGUUCCCCUUCUGUCCGGCCUCCCACUCUAGGACACCGCCGAAGAGCUGAAGACAGGACCCAGGACUGCCCACUCGCUCUGUGCUCUGGGGCUCACUGCACCCCUCCUCCUGGUGCUGGAGAAGGACCCUCGGUGGGUGAGACUUUCACUCAGCUAGCUGUGUGGCCUCGGGCCUGGGGCUACUUGCAACCCGCUCUCGUCAAUUUUGAAACAUGCACUCCAUACUCUCUGGGUUUCUGAGCCAUCACGCGGUCGAGCCGUUCCCUCACUGACUACAGCGAGCCCUGGGCCUCCUGAGCACCACCAGGGCUGGCUGGGGGCCACCACACUCCUUGCCCGUCUGGCUUCGCCCUGCCCCAUCGGCAGGAUGGGUCCUGGCACGCUCCAUGCCACCAUCCGGGGCUGCCUGCCGUUGACUGCAUCUCUGGUCUCUCUCCUUUAAAGGAGUCCAAUCAGCGUAGCUGCUUGGCAUGAGGUUCCCUGGCUAAUGUAUGCCCCGCGCAGCCUGGCUCCAGGCACGGAAGAUUCCAGAUAGGCUUUUAACAAUGCAGACCUCGGCUCACAGUGGCGCAGCUCAUGGUGGCUGACCCUGGGCAGCAGCUGGUGUGUCCACCGCGGGUGGCAGGUGGAGCACUGCUCUGCUGUAAAGAAGGACAAACUCGAGUCCCUGCAGGGAACCGGGUGCGGCCUGAGACUGCCAUGUUAAGGGAAUUAAA